GACGAAGGAUGCAAGCGUUAUCCGGAUUCAUUGGGUUUAAAGGGUGCGUAGGCGGUCUGAUAAGUCAGUGGUGAAAUCUCCUCGCUUAACGAGGAAACUGCCAUUGAUACUGUCAGACUUGAGUAUAGAUGAUGUGGGCGGAAUAUGACAUGUAGUGGUGAAAUACUUAGAUAUGUCAUAGAACACCGAUUGCGAAGGCAGCUCACAAAACUAUAACUGACGCUGAGGCACGAAAGUGCGGGGAUCAAACAGG
rnacentral:rRNA from 1 species